UAUUAAUUGAGAAAAUAAUCAGGCAAAUAAUUGACAAUUGGAAAUAUUCAAUAGCUGCAGCCCUGUGACUAUUGGAUCUAGUCACCAUGGGUUCACUACAGGGGAUCUGUCACUUUAAGAGAGUGUUGUAUUGUGGGUUGUUUCCUUUGACUGCUAGAGUUGGAGCUACAAAACAAAAAAGUUGACCACUGAAAUGUCAUGUUUUGAGAUGGCAAAAGGCCGACUUAAAAUGCUAAUAGCAAAAAACAAAACAAAACUGUUUUUGUGAACCCACACAGCACUGAGCUGUGGGUACAUGACUGAAAACACAAGAGUGAAGGAGUACUUGUCACACUUGGCAAACAAAUUUGGACAAACAACCAAAGGGCCUCUGUGUUGGAACGCAUCAGCACGGAGCCUGGCCCCUGUGGAACAUCAUCUGUGGGAUAUGCAGAGUUGGCAGGUUGACAGGCAGGUAUGUAGGCACAAGGUUGCUGGAAGGCUGCCUUCUCAGAUCCUGUUUAAGAAGCAUGUGUGGGGUUUU
rnacentral:lncRNA from 1 species